UACAGAGGUCCCAAGCGUUGUUCGGAUUCAUUGGGCGUAAAGGGUGCGUAGGCGGCGCGGUAAGUCGGAUGUGAAAUCUCGGAGCUUAACUCCGAAACUGCAUUCGAUACUGCCAUGCUUGAGGACUGGAGAGGAGACUGGAAUUUAACGGUGUAGCGGUGAAAUGCGUAGAUAUCGUAAGGAAGACCAGUGGCGAAGGCGGGUCUCUGGACAGUUCCUGACGCUGAGGCACGAAGGCCCAGGGGAGCAAACGGG
rnacentral:rRNA from 1 species